rnacentral:rRNA from 1 species
GCUUCGGCCGAUGAGUACAGUGGCGCACGGGUGAGUAACGCGUGGGUAAUCUACCCCUCGGUCAGGAAUAACCCGCCGAAAGGCGGGCUAAUACCCGAUAAUACUGACGCUCUGCGGAGUGUCUUUCAAAGAAGGCCUCUGUUUACAAGCUUUCGCCGGAGGAUGAGCCCGCGUACCAUUAGCUAGUUGGCAGGGUAAUGGCCUACCAAGGCAACGAUGGUUAGCUGGUCUGAGAGGAUGGCCAGCCACACUGGAACUGAGACACGGUCCAGACUCCUACGGGAGGCAGCAGUGAGGAAUCUUGCGCAAUGGGGGAAACCCUGACGCAGCAACGCCGCGUGAGUGAGGAAGGCCUUCGGGUCGUAAAGCUCUGUCAGAUGGGAAGAAAUGGGUGGGGGCUAAUAUCGUCCAUCCUUGACGGUACCAUCAGAGGAAGCACCGGCUAACUCCGUGCCAGCAGCCGCGGUAAUACGGGGGGUGCAAGCGUUGUUCGGAAUCAUUGGGCGUAAAGCGCGCGCAGGCGGCUUGGUAAGUCAGAUGUGAAAUCCCUGGGCUUAACCCACGAAGUGCAUUUGAUACUGCCUCGCUAGAGUACGGGAGAGGAAAGUGGAAUUCCUGGUGUAGAGGUGAAAUUCGUAGAUAUCAGAGGAACACCGGGUGGCGAAGCGACUUUCUGGCCCGAUACUGACGCUCAGCGCGAAAGCGUGGGGAGCAAACAGAUUAGAUACCCUGGUAGUCACGCUGUAACGAUGUCACUAGUGUUGGGGGUAUACCUCUCAUGCGUAGCUACGCAUUAUGAACGGCUGGAGGUACGUCGCAGACUAACUCAAGAUUGACCGGGGUCCGUUACAAG